UCCAGGGCAUCAUCAUUUUGUCUAAAGGAACAUGUAGUUGUUUGGUCUUCAGUUUUUUUUUUCUUUUUUUUUUUUCUCCUGAAUGCCCACUGAGUUAUUAUGCUGAAACAUGACCUAAGCAAGUUUCAGAAGUGAGAAUUUGAUCCAAGGCUUGGAAGAGUCAAGAGAGGGACUUAUGCAGCAUUUUCUCUUAUGGAGAGGAUCUGGCAGAAAGCCUGGGAAUGUGGAGCCCUGAGCUGUCCCCUGGUUAAGAUCUUAAAGUCUUCAGAUCUACAACUCAAAACUGAGUAGUGCUGUUAUUCAAAUGGGGACACUGAGAAUGCAUCUGAGAUCUGACCAGGGGAACUAUGGUAAAAGUGAAGACUGAAUUCAGCAAAAUGAAUUGUGGAAUUGAAAGAUUUUUCAUUCUGCUGCAGCAAAGGAAGAAUUAAAAUUAAAGCAAAAAAAAUCAACAACUUGCCUCACCAUAAAUAUGAACAACCACUUUCAUGAUCCAAGGCUCUAUAGUAUGUCCCAUACUAUAAGCCAGGACUGUGUGUAAGGACAGCCAUCACAAGCCAUGGUAGUUAAGACAAGAAAAAGACUUAAAAUAAAAACA